UAACAUCCAAAUAUUUGUACAAAAAAAAUACUUGCAAAGAUAGUAAACCUUAUAACAGUUCUUUAAAAUUAGGAAUAAAGCUAACAGCACAAAAUUUAUAAACAAGUUAUAAAAGAUUUUUAAUACGUUUUUAGUUGGAAUAUCAGAAAUUACAUUAUUCUAGCAAUUAAAAUACACAUUCAAACCAUUCAAUAGGAAGAACUUUUACAAACUCAGUAGCUUAAGUUUAAUAUCAUUCAAGAAAAUAAUAGGACUUUGUCAAUUAUCACGGAAAUAGCAAAUAUUAUAAAUUAGUAAAAUUAUUUCAGUUACUCUUCCAUUCUGCUCCAAUGCAGCAACAGGAUCAAAUAGAUUCUUGAACCAUGCUACACUAAUUUGUAGAGCACUUAGCAGUAAAAUUAAGACCCAGUUGUGUUUUACAGUUUCAGAAUUAUGGAUAAAAAUAAUUCAAAUAUCUUGAAGAAGAAAAGUGAGUUUAGACUCAGAAAAGCUGAAGAUAUUUUACACUGAGAUUAACAGGAAGAUUUCUAAGUGAUUGUGUGAAAAAAAUACUUAGAAUAAACUAAUGAUCAGAAAUGCAACAAAAAUAGAUGAAAAUUAAAAUCAACAACAACUCUGAAAGAAAUAAAAGUUUUUCAAAUAUGUUAUAGGAUGAUUUUGUUCCAUUUUCCUCUCAUUCACUUUAACCAAUCUUCCCUCCAUCACCAAUGGCUGUGAAUGGCCUUUGUGUGCUGUGAGUGAAGCAGUGGUGGUCAGCUGGUAACCCACAUUUUUAAGAAUGAAUCGCUAGGGUUGUUCAAUAUUUUAUUGCCAAUAAGUUAUGACUUUUGUAUGUCAUUUUAUUGCACAUAUUAUUUCUAAUACUACUAACAUGCUACUAAAUGCUACAAUAACUACUACUACUGCUAACUCUACUACUGAUUCAAUUUCAAUAAAAAUUUCAUUGUCUGACAAUGUUUCAUUCACACAAUA